rnacentral:rRNA from 1 species
AACGCUGGCGGCAGGCCUAACACAUGCAAGUCGAGCGGAUGAAGGGAGCUUGCUUCUGGAUUCAGCGGCGGACGGGUGAGUAAUGCCUAGGAAUCUGCCUGGUAGUGGGGGACAACGUUCCGAAAGGAGCGCUAAUACCGCAUACGUCCUACGGGAGAAAGUGGGGGAUCUUCGGACCUCACGCUAUCAGAUGAGCCUAGGUCGGAUUAGCUAGUAGGUGGGGUAAUGGCUCACCUAGUCGACGAUCCGUAACUGGUCUGAGAGGAUGAUCAGUCACACUGGAACUGAGACACGGUCCAGACUCCUACGGGAGGCAGCAGUGGGGAAUAUUGGACAAUGGGCGAAAGCCUGAUCCAGCCAUGCCGCGUGUGUGAAGAAGGUCUUCGGAUUGUAAAGCACUUUAAGUUGGGAGGAAGGGCAGUAAGUUAAUACCUUGCUGUUUUGACGUUACUAACAG